AUUGAACGCUGGCGGCAUGCUUUACACAUGCAAGUCGAACGGUAACAGGCCGCAAGGUGCUGACGAGUGGCGAACGGGUGAGUAAUGCAUCGGAACGUGCCCAGUCGUGGGGGAUAACGCAGCGAAAGCUGUGCUAACACCGCAUACGAUCUAUGGAUGAAAGCGGGGGACCGUAAGGCCUCGCGCGAUUGGAGCGGCCGAUGUCAGAUUAGCUAGUUGGUGGGGUAAAGGCCCACCAAGGCGACGAUCUGUAGCUGGUCUGAGAGGACGACCAGCCACACUGGGACUGAGACACGGCCCAGACCCCUACGGGAGGCAGCAGUGGGGAAUUUUGGACAAUGGGCGCAAGCCUGAUCCAGCAAUGCCGCGUGCAGGAAGAAGGCCUUCGGGUUGUAAACUGCUUUUGUACGGAACGAAACGGUCUGGGUUAAUACCCUGGGCUAAUGACGGUACCAUAAGAAUAAGCACCGGCUAACUACGUGCCAGCCGCCGCAGUAA
rnacentral:rRNA from 1 species